rnacentral:rRNA from 1 species
GUCGACCGCGACUGCUAUACAUGCAGUCGACGAGCUUCCGUUGAAUGACGUGCUUGCACUGAUUUCAACAAUGAAGCGAGUGGCGAACUGGUGAGUAACACGUGGGAAAUCUGCCCAGAAGCAGGGGAUAACACUUGGAAACAGGUGCUAAUACCGUAUAACAACAAAAUCCGCAUGGAUUUUGUUUGAAAGGUGGCUUCGGCUAUCACUUCUGGAUGAUCCCGCGGCGUAUUAGUUAGUUGGUGAGGUAAAGGCCCACCAAGACGAUGAUACGUAGCCGACCUGAGAGGGUAAUCGGCCACAUUGGGACUGAGACACGGCCCAAACUCCUACGGGAGGCAGCAGUAGGGAAUCUUCCACAAUGGACGAAAGUCUGAUGGAGCAAUGCCGCGUGAGUGAAGAAGGGUUUCGGCUCGUAAAACUCUGUUGUUAAAGAAGAACACCUUUGAGAGUAACUGUUCAAGGGUUGACGGUAUUUAACCAGAAAGCCACGGCUAACUACGUGCCAGCAGCCGCGGUAAUACGUAGGUGGCAAGCGUUGUCCGGAUUUAUUGGGCGUAAAGCGAGCGCAGGCGGUUUUUUAAGUCUGAUGUGAAAGCCUUCGGCUUAACCGGAGAAGUGCAUCGGAAACUGGGAGACUUGAGUGCAGAAGAGGACAGUGGAACUCCAUGUGUAGCGGUGGAAUGCGUAGAUAUAUGGAAGAACACCAGUGGCGAAGGCGGCUGUCUAGUCUGUAACUGACGCUGAGGCUCGAAAGCAUGGGUAGCGAACAGGAUUAGAUACCCUGGUAGUCCAUGCCGUAAACGAUGAGUGCUAAGUGUUGGAGGGUUUCCGCCCUUCAGUGCUGCAGCUAACGCAUUAAGCACUCCGCCUGGGGAGUACGACCGCAAGGUUGAAACUCAAAGGAAUUGACGGGGGCCCGCACAAGCGGUGGAGCAUGUGGUUUAAUUCGAAGCUACGCGAAGAACCUUACCAGGUCUUGACAUCUUCUGCCAAUCUAGAGAUAGACGUCCCUUCGGGACAGAAUGACAGUGUGCAUGUGUCGUCAGCUCGUGUCGUGAGAUGUGGUAAGUCCCGCACGAGCGCAACCUUAUUUUCAGUUGCCAGCAUCAGU